rnacentral:rRNA from 1 species
UGUUUGAUCCCUGGCUCAGAUUGAACGCUGGCGGCAGGCUUAACACAUGCAAGUCGAGCGGAGAGAGGUAGCUUGCUACUGAUCUUAGCGGCGGACGGGUGAGUAAUGCUUAGGAAUCUGCCUAUUAGUGGGGGACAACAUUUCGAAAGGAAUGCUAAUACCGCAUACGUCCUACGGGAGAAAGCAGGGGAUCUUCGGACCUUGCGCUAAUAGAUGAGCCUAAGUCGGAUUAGCUAGUUGGUGGGGUAAAGGCCUACCAAGGCGACGAUCUGUAGCGGGUCUGAGAGGAUGAUCCGCCACACUGGGACUGAGACACGGCCCAGACUCCUACGGGAGGCAGCAGUGGGGAAUAUUGGACAAUGGGCGCAAGCCUGAUCCAGCCAUGCCGCGUGUGUGAAGAAGGCCUUAUGGUUGUAAAGCACUUUAAGCGAGGAGGAGGCUACUUUAGAUAAUACCUAGAGAUAGUGGACGUUACUCGCAGAAUAAGCACCGGCUAACUCUGUGCCAGCAGCCGCGGUAAUACAGAGGGUGCAAGCGUUAAUCGGAUUUACUGGGCGUAAAGCGCGCGUAGGCGGCUAAUUAAGUCAAAUGUGAAAUCCCCGAGCUUAACUUGGGAAUUGCAUUCGAUACUGGUUAGCUAGAGUGUGGGAGAGGAUGGUAGAAUUCCAGGUGUAGCGGUGAAAUGCGUAGAGAUCUGGAGGAAUACCGAUGGCGAAGGCAGCCAUCUGGCCUAACACUGACGCUGAGGUGCGAAAGCAUGGGGAGCAAACAGGAUUAGAUACCCUGGUAGUCCAUGCCGUAAACGAUGUCUACUAGCCGUUGGGGCCUUUGAGGCUUUAGUGGCGCAGCUAACGCGAUAAGUAGACCGCCUGGGGAGUACGGUCGCAAGACUAAAACUCAAAGGAAUUGACGG